CAGCUUAUUCUAUUUCUAUUAUCCCCACUUCCACCUUCUCUUUCACCUUCUCUUUCUUCUUCCAACUCCACAGGUAGAAAGCAAGAGAGGGAGAGAGAAAGCGAGCGAGAGAGAGAGAGAGUCGACGCAGAAACCGUUUCACUCCACUUUUUCUGAGUUUUAUUUGUGCGCCUGAAUUAUCAUCGGAGCUUAGGGUUCUGAAGUUGCGAACAGAUUGUUUUACUUUUGGGGAAUUUGGAAUCUUUGAAUUUCAUGAAUUAGGGUUUCAGAGAAUUAACAUUUGUUCAUGCAAUGCAAAAAAGAACCCUAAUUUUUGCGGGUCUUAUUGAUUAUCGCGCGGGGUUUUGUGUGCUCUAAUGCUGCUGAAGCUGUAGCUGUAGGGUUUGAGUGAUUCUCAUGGGGAGCACGGGCGAGCCAGAUCGAAAACGACGUCACGUCAGCUCCAUAUCCCCUACUGCUGUCACUGCUAAGAAGCAGCCCUUCUUCCCCUUCACUGAAGACAAAAAGCUUGAUGCUGCUGUACUUGAAUAUCAAAAUCAAAAGCUCAUACAGAAGUUAGAAACUCAGAAGGCUGAGCGUUUUGCUCUUGAGAAUAAACUAUGUCAACUUAAGGAGAAGCAGCAACCAUAUGAUACCACAUUAACUGUUCUUAAUAAGUGCUGGGAAGGGCUUGUUGAUGACUUGGGCUCGUGUUCCAUUCGCACAAGAGAUUCGGUGAUCAGUGGACAAGAUGGACAUGAUCGAGCUUCUUCUCCGUCAGAGGAUGCAUUUCUUAGCCGACUCAUUGAAACAGGUGCAACAGAUAGUUGCUCCACAAAUUGCUGCCCUGAUCAGAUGGAAGAUGAUAGAAAAACUCCUAAUGGAAGGACUAAGAAUAUUUUGUGUAAUUUAGUAGGUGCUAUUAACAGCCUGUGGUAUUUGAAGAACAGGCUACAUGCUGCAGUUAUGGAAGUACUUCCUGAAGAUGGUUCAUGUAAUCAAAAAGCAUCCUGCAAUCUAGAGACAGAGGUUAAGAACUUGAGAUUAGCGCUAGGGGAGCUUCAUUUGAGGCACAAAUCUUUGGCAUGGGAAAUGCAGUGUCAUUGGGACACUGAUGCAAAGAAUAAAGCUGAGCUCAAGCGUUUGAGAGGAGAAUUGGACAAUACUAUUGCAGAGUUGGAAGACAGUAAUCGUAAACUGGCAACUCUUAAAGCAGGGAGGAACGAAGCAAAAGGGGCAUUUUUCCGUGUUCUAAACCUGAGUGGUAAGCAUACUGCUGGUGAUAGGACCAGGGACAAACAAAAAGAUUUGCAAGAUGUGGAGUCUGCACUUAAGGAACUAUUGGAGGAAGCUUCUUGUCGACUAAUAGAACUCAAGGCUCUUCAUGAAGAAAGGAUAGAAAUAUUAAGGAAAUUAUCUAAUUUGCAGAACAUUUUGAAGAAUGUAAAGUAUAUAUCUUCCUCGCAAGCUUACCUUUUGGUAGGAGAUCAAUUAGCGAAGUCAAAAGCAGAAGUUGUCCAGUAUCAGGCUUUAUUUGAGAAACUACAGGUUGAGAAAGAUAAUAUUGCCUGGCGGGAAAGGGAUGUGAAUAUGAAAAAUGAUUUGGUCGAAGUUUUUAGAAGAUCCUCUACAGUGGCUGAUUCUGGAAUUUUUGAUCUUGAGAAAGAGAUACAGAAGCAUACCGAUGAAAGAAUUCUUAUUGAAACUAAGCUGGAAGAGGCAUCAAGAGAACCAGGAAGGAAAGAUAUUAUUGCUGAAUUUAAAGCCUUGGUUUCCUCAUUUCCUGAUGAUAUGGGCGCCAUGCAAGGUCAACUAAGUAAAUAUAAAGAGGCUGCAGCUGAUGUGCACACCUUGCGGGCUGAUGUGCAAUCUCUUUCUAAUGUUCUUGAUAGGAAGGCAAAAGAGUUGGAAACUUUAUCUGCUAGAUGUGCUGACCAGGCUGCUGAAAUACAGAAAUUGCAAGCUGUGGUUCAAGAUUUGAGGGAGAGUGAUCUAGAGUUGAAACUUAUUUUGGAAAUGUUUAGACGUGAAUCUACUGAUUCAAGGGAUGUCUUGGAAGCUAGGGACUCAGAAUACAAGGCAUGGGCUCAUGUCCAAAGCCUGAAAUCCUCUCUUGAUGAGCACAGCAUAGAAUUGCGAGUUAAAACAGCUAAUGAAGCUGAGGCUAUAUCCCAACAGCGGCUAGCUGCUGCAGAAGCUGAGAUUGCUGACCUGAGACAGAAAUUGGAAGCUUCUAAAAGAGAUAUAUCUAGACUUUCCAACGUCCUUAAGUCAAAGCAUGAGGAAAAUGAAGCCUACUUAUCUGAGAUAGAGACAAUUAGCCAGGCAUAUGAUGACAUGCAAAAUCAAAACCAACAUCUGUUGCAGCAAAUCACGGAGAGAGAUGACUAUAACAUCAAGCUUUUCUUAGAAGGGGUGAGGGCAAGACAGCUGAAGGACGCUCUAUUCAUGGACAAACUAACCAGGGAGAAGGAGAUCCAGCAAGCUAACACCUCUCUUGAUCUCUUUGAUUUGAAAGCUGCAAAAAUUGAAGAUCAGUUGAAAGUGUGCACAGACCAUGUUCAGAAACUUGCAGAAGAGAGGCUUCAAAACUCAACUACCUUGGAAAAUACUCAGAAGAAAACAAUGGAGGCAAGAAGAUUAUCUCUGCAAGCUAGGGAAUCCCUGGAGGAAUCAGUGCUAAAAGUUGAAAAAAGUCGAGUGGAUUAUGCUGAGCUGCGGAUAGAACUUGAGAAAGAGAGGUUUGACAAGAAAAGAAUUGAGGAGGAAUUGGAAAUUGCAAGGAGAAAGGCUUCACAUCUCAGAGCACAAGUAGAAGGGUCAUCAGUUGUGGAAAAACUUCAACAGGAACUCAGAGAAUACAGGGAAAUACUAAAGUGCAGCAUCUGCCUUGACAGGCCAAAAGAGGUUGUCAUCACAAAAUGCUACCACCUCUUUUGCAAUCCCUGCAUUCAAAGAAUCAUCGAAACUCGUCAUCGAAAGUGUCCAAUGUGCGCUGCAAGUUUCAGUCCUAAUGAUGUCAAACCAGUCUACAUCUGAUACAAAACUGGGUUUACAUUGUUCUCUACUGCUUGUCAAUGAGACUUGCAUUGGUGUUCUCUGCUGCGUGUCAAUGAGAAAUGCACUGCCUUCCUUAGGUGCAUGUGACCGAAGGGUUGAUGUUUGGGUGCGUGCAGGUUCAUGUGUACCGAUAUGUUAGAGAACUGUUGGUAACGAUUUGACAGAAAGUAGUGGAAUUCCUAUCCGCCUGUCAUUUGAGCACUGCAGAUCAUCAUAUUAGACUUGGAAGUGUGUAUUUUGGAGGCAAGAUAAUGUGCUCUAACCAGGCUAGAAGCUGGGAAAGAAUAAUUAGCUCAAAAGGACCAAAUUCUACUUUGCAGGGAGAAAGUUCAACUGCACGGUUUGAUCUAUCUGCCCUUAUCAUCCCAUCUUGCUGUUUUCUCCUACACCCUGUUGUCAUGGUGGAAUUUUUGAACUUGUUCAGAUUUUUGAAUAGAUUGGAGCUUGAACAUGUAAUGGGAAUUUUCACUUUGAUUUUUAUUUUGUUUUUUGUUUUUUCUGUUUUGUUCUUGUUUUUGUUUUUGUUUUGUGGAAUUUGGUUUAAUCUAUUGAAGAAUGUGGAAGGAAGCAAUUCAUUUGGUAAAUGAAGUACAUUUGG